rnacentral:rRNA from 1 species
CGGAUCUCAGAUCAAGCAAGAGGACCCGCCGAAUUUAAGCAUAUAAUUAAGCGGAGGAAAAGAAACUAACUAGGAUUCCCUC